UAAUACGUAGGGUGCAAGCGUUGUCCGGAUUUACUGGGUGUAAAGGGCGUGUAGCCGGGCUGAUAAGUCAGAUGUGAAAACCAGGGGCUCAACCUCUGGACUGCAUUUGAAACUGUUGGUCUUGAGUAUCGGAGAGGUAACCGGAAUUCCUAGUGUAGCGGUGAAAUGCGUAGAUAUUAGGAAGAACAUCAGUGGCGAAGGCGGGUUACUGGACGACAACUGACGGUGAGGCGCGAAAGCGUGGGGAGCAAACAGGAUUAGAUACCCUGGUAGUCCACGCCGUAAACGAUCAAUACUAGGUGUGCGGGGACUGACCCCCUGCGUGCCGGAGUUAACACAAUAAGUAUUGCACCUGGGGAGUACGAUCGCAAGGUUGAAACUCAAAGGAAUUGACGG
rnacentral:rRNA from 1 species